rnacentral:rRNA from 1 species
CGUGUAGGCUGCAACUCGCCUACACGAAGCUGGAAUCGCUAGUAAUCGCGGAUCAGCACGCCGCGGUGAAUACGUUCCCGGGUCUUGUACACACCGCCCGUCACACCAUGAGAGUCUGUAACACCCAAAGCCGGUGGGGUAACCUUUAUAGGAGUCAGCCGUCUAAGGUAGGACAGAUGAUUAGGGUGAAGUCGUAACAAGGUACC